rnacentral:pre_miRNA from 1 species
GGAUUAUUGUUAUGAUGAUGAUGAUGAUGAUGAUGAUGAUCAUCAUCAUCAUCAUCAUCAUCAUCAUCGUCAACA